rnacentral:rRNA from 1 species
GACGAACGCUGGCGGCGUGCUUAACACAUGCAAGUCGAGCGGAGAGGCCCUGCUUUUGUGCGGUGCUCGAGUGGCGAACGGGUGAGUAAAACGUGAGUAACCUGCCCUUGACUUUGGGAUAACUUCAGGAAACACGGACUCAUAUCGGGUAGGAGCACCUGAUGCAUAGGGGGGGUUGGUGAGUUGCGUCGGUUGGGGAUGCACUCGCGGCUUAUCAGCGUGUUGGUGGGGUGGUGGCGUAACGAGGCAUUGAGGGGUAGCCGGACUGGGAGUGUGACAGGCCACAAUGGGACUGAGAUACGGCCCAUACGCCUACUGGAGGCAGCGGUGGGAAAUAUUGCACAAUGGGCGGCAGCCGUAUGCAGCAACGUCGCGUGCUGGAUGACUGCUUUCGGGUUGGAACCCUCGUGCGACUGGGACGAAGAGUGAGUGACGGUAACUGGUAAAGAAGCACCGGCUAACUACGUG